AGCGAACGCUGGCGGCAGGCUUAACACAUGCAAGUCGAACGGAUGUAGCAAUACAUCAGUGGCAGACGGGUGAGUAACGCGUGGGAACAUGCCCUUCGGUUCGGAAUAACACAGGGAAACUUGUGCUAAUACCGGAUACGUCCGAGAGGAGAAAGAUUUAUUGCCGAGGGAUUGGCCCGCGUCUGAUUAGCUAGUUGGUGAGGUAACGGCUCACCAAGGCGACGAUCAGUAGCUGGUCUGAGAGGAUGAUCAGCCACACUGGGACUGAGACACGGCCCAGACUCCUACGGGUGGCAG
rnacentral:rRNA from 1 species